rnacentral:rRNA from 1 species
UACAGAGGUCCCAAGCGUUGUUCGGAUUCACUGGGCGUAAAGGGUGCGUAGGCGGUUGGGUAAGUCUGAUGUGAAAUCUCACAGCUUAACUGUGAAACUGCAUUGGAUACUAUCCAACUCAAGGAAUGGAGGGGAGACUGGAAUACUUGGUGUAGCAGUGAAAUGCGUAGAUAUCAAGUGGAACACCAGUGGCGAAGGCGAGUCUCUGGACAUUUCCUGACGCUGAGGCACGAAAGCCAGGGGAGCAAACGGG